CUGAAUAUGAAGACGGACCUGGCGAAAGUCAUCUUUUAGAAUUCAUAUUUCGGAAUAUUGAUGGUUCCGGUGAUCCUUAUAUUCAUUACCUUGAUGAGAUGGAAUGAUCUUUGCAAUGCCUGGAUGUAAUGGGUCUGAUUAUAUCAUGAGGAUAUUGAAUUCGGAUGGUAGCGAGCCCGAGAUGUGAGGUAAUGGAGUUUGUUGCUUUGCAAAGUUUAUUUCAGGUAUUAAUAACUUAAAUUGAAGGCAAAGGUAUUUUUUUAGUUCUAUAUACAAAUUUCAUGCUUUGUUGUAUUGUUUUGGUGUAGCAGGUCUGUGGU